rnacentral:lncRNA from 1 species
UAGAUCGGUGGUGUGGGGCUUUUAUGUUCCAGAGCACUUGGUCUCAGGCUCGAGAGGAUUGGUAUCUAUCUAUUUUCUAUCUGAUCAAAAACCCCAUUACCUUGAUUGAGGUAUUCUAAAAUACCUUCCUUUUACUAUAAAAGCUCAAAGCUCUAUUUUCUUCCCUUCUCCAAAUUGGAGAUAUUAAGCAUGAUCACCACACAGGUCUCAAGAG